ensembl:lncRNA
UUAGUGGGUUGAGAAAGCGAACAGUGUGCAGAGCUGUAAUCUAGACAUUUAUAAAAUGUGGUAAAUAGUUAGAAUGAUGAAUAAGUAGGUGUGUCCAACUUUGACCGGUUGUGUAGUUUGAGGAAACUAGUUCAAGUUAUUGCACUCAGGCACUUUCUCAGUCGUCUACACCGGGUCCUUCGCUCCUCCUGUAGUGUGUCCACGUGGAGCUCAUGCGCUCUUAAAGCGGUAGACGGGUUCGUUGUACAGCAUAUGGGUGAGCAGCGUGGACAGGGUCACAGACACCUGGGUGUAUAGUCACAGAAGAGUGGUUCUUUCCAGCGGCUGUAAAUUACCCAGAAUUCAAGGACUAGAGGUUAGUUUUACUAAGAAUGACUCUCAGACGAACUUGGUUUGUUUUGACUUGAUUCAUAUUUUGCUGCUCUGUGAUGAUUUGUAUGGUAUAAUGUGUUGUGUACAUAAAUUUGAGCUCAGUAAGGGCUGGCCGCUGUUUUAUAACUUAUAAUUUUCCGCAUUUAUAUGUUCAUGCUGUGUCCAAGUGUUUCUGUGGUUUAAUAUUUCUCCCUGUUCUCUUCCAGAUGCUGUUUUCUGUAUGUGUGAAUAUGCAUGACAUACUUUUAUAAAUAAAACCUUCUGUUUAACUGUCUGUCUUUUGUAU